UCCGGAGCAAGGAGCGGAGCCUGCGGCCUCCGCCCCUCCAUCCCAACCAGCUAGCGCACGACAGGGGCGCAGGGCACAUCUUCGAUUCCGAGUAGGGGGCAAGUCCCGGCGCCUCUGUGGGCCUGAAACUUAGAACAAACGUACAGGAGACAGAACUCCUCCAGCCCUUGCGGCCCUAAAAAUGGGGCACUGCUAGCCGGAGUACGGGAGGGAAAGGAGCUAGGCAGCACUGCCAGAAGUACUCACCACCCGAUUGUCCCGCUUCCCCAUGGUGUGGAACUAAGCGCACAGUCAGACGCCAAGGGAGAUCAGGCCGGAGAGGCGGCCGAGGUGGGCCCGCCGCAGGUCCUUCUGCCGACUCCCCACCCUGCCCAGAGAGAGGCGCCGCGCGGAGCUAGUGGCCGCACCCGACCACAGCGCCACCUGCCGAUGUGGAGGAGAGGCGGACGCCAGCGCUCACCAGCUGCUCCCAGGCAUUCUCCUGGCGGAUUACUGUCCUUUACCACCCAGCCCAGCCCCGGGCAGGCGGCCACUGCUCUUCGAUAGUUACCCCUCUGGCAAUGUAUACAGCACUUUCCAGAUGCAACAUGGAUGCCAGAGGAGGACAGAAAAACAGGAAAAUGACCUGUAGAAAUAAUGAAGAAGGCCAGAGCAACUGGGAGCUCACCUGAAUGGACUCCAUAAAGGAUGAGUUGGUCCUGGCCUUCUCAGGAUGUAACUUGCAGUGACUCAAUCAGAA